rnacentral:rRNA from 1 species
AUUGAACGCUGGCGGCAGGCCUAACACAUGCAAGUCGAACGAGUGGCGGAAGGGUGAGUAAUGUCUGGGAAACUGUCUGAUGGAGGGGGAUAACUACUGGAAACGGUAGCUAAUACCGCAUAACAUCAGAUGUGCCCAGAUGGGAUUAGCUAGUUGGUGGGGUAACGGCACACCAAGGCGACGAUCCCUAGCUGGUCUGAGAGGAUGACCGGCAACACUGGAACUGAGACACGUGCCAGACUCAUACGGUAGGCAGCAGUGGGGAAUAUUGCACAAUGGGCGCAAGCCUGAUGCAGCCAUGCCGCGUGUAUGAAGAAGGCCUUCGGGUUGUAAAGUACUUUCGGCGGGGAGGCGUUACCCGCAGAAGAAGCACCGGCUAACUCCGUGCCAGCAGCCGCGGUAAUAC